AAAGCGCCAUUUCAAGCCAUAGCCCUAACAUAAAUGAAUUUGGCAUGUUCAGGAGUGGACCAUCACUUCCAUGAUGAGAUCAAUGGGUACAAUUUAAGCUUUGACUGCUGCCAUCCUCCUAUACUUCCAUGAGAGACACCAUUGACCUGCACCUUUGCCUUGAGUCGCCAAUUUAAAGACAGCUACUGCUUGAUAGUACACACAAAAUGAAUUAUUAGUCUUUAGUUAUGGCCUAAGUGUCUGGAGACUGAGACCUUCACUGGCCCCAUGCAGAAGGCCAAGGACGGACAGAAGCACCAGCAAAAGAGAAGUCCCAAGAGGUUAAGGGAAGGGGCACUGCAGACUAAUAAACUCUGUUACUACAAGGAGAACUUUGUUCAACUUCUGAUGCCAAGAAGGACAGCCUGGACUGGCAGGUACUUAGCGCUUCUGAAAUGCAAGCUCAAGGCAGGCUGUGUUGAAUGUCUUAAGCUUGGGGAAGUCUUUCUGGAAACCUGAUGGAAAAUACUGGCUCAAAUAUUACUGUUCCUCCAGCAAUCAGUGGAACUAUUAGUUAACCUGAGGGCAGUCCCUGGCCCACUGCAAGCACAGCAGGAUCCAUGCAAGGGGCAGGGGAUGAUGAAGAUUUGGACUUGCAUUCCAGAAAAGAUGUCCACAAAGGGACGACUUCCCCCUGAGGAGCUGUCGGGUCACACUGACACCGCUGCCAUCUACCACAGAUGGUUUUCAGCCUGUAUCACGCAUCACUAUGACACAGCACUGCUCACAGCACAUUCUCAAUGCAGCACUGAGCUCGUUCAGUUGCUCCCUGAAUCUCUCCAUGUAACCUGUGGUGUGUCAGCAAGGCUGUAUCAUAUCAGCCCUUCAGAGCUGCCAGUGCUACUAGCGGUUAGACCCUACUUGUGACACGGCCUUCUGUAAGCUUUGUCUGCUAAGAGAACAUCUUGAGCUCUGCUACGCACCCCAUCAGCUCUCUAAGCGAGAGAAUGGAGAUCAGGCACAUCCAUGAGAAGGGUGACUGGUUGGGAUCGCAUCUGAGAAGCACCGCACUCACUGAUGAGCAGUGUAUUCCAACACUGUGAGACAGGGACAUCAGCUGGAACCUGCUGCACACAGAGAGCUUCAGCUUGCCCAGUGGCCACCACUCCUGGAAGAGCAAGGAACAUGAGGAGCACCAGAGGGGACCGUGCAGUGCUGCAGAGAAAGGCACCAGUGCACGUUCUGACAGCAGGGGCUCCUUCCCAUGCUGCUCCCUGUGUUUGG